CGGGUAAAUAUACUGUGCGUAGUGGUUACAAACUACUAUUACAAGGCAAUGAUUACAAUAGUAAUGGUUACAGUUUGCCUGAAAUUACAAAAUGUUACAAGAAACUGUGGAACUGUAAUCUCCCCUCAAAGGUACGUAUUACAGUUUGGAGAGCCACUCUCAACUACCUCCCUACCCUAGUGAAUUUAAGAAUCAAAAGAUUAACGAAUAACGCCAUCUGCCCGAGAUGUAAGCAAGGGCUGGAAACUAGGGAACAUAUUUUUCGCGACUGUGCUGCUGCGAAGGAAAUGUGGAAAAAAUUAAAUUAUGUAUGGUCACUCAAGUUAUCGCAUAUGGACUAUAUGGAGUGGUUUACCUGGGUAUUGUUGCACAGUAAAGAGAAAGAAUGCUACAUCUUUGUCUGUGCCAUUUGGGCUAUCUGGUCGAAUAAGAAUCAAUGGGUACACGGAGGACAUAAGAGAACUAGAACAGAAAUAGCGCAGUUUGUAAUACAGUAUUUACAGGAAUUACAAGAUAUGGAAAGAAAACACCAUGCCAAAUACUCAGUUUUAGAUUCAUGGAAGGCGCCGGAAAGCAGGUUCCUCAAAAUCAAUUUCGAUGCUCCUUUUGAUAAGGGGAAAAAUAUAUCUUGUUCAAGGGUAAUAGUCAAGAACUUUAAAGGUGAUGUAUUGGUUUCAAAAUCGGUCAUCCAUGACAAGAUUUCUUCAAGAUUUGCAGCAGAAGCCUUAGCAUGUUUGCAGGCGGUUAUGGUGGGAAAAGAAUUGGGGAUAAAAUAUGUUAUUUUCGAAGGCGACUCUCUGACAGUUAUAAAAAAAUGAACAAAAAAAAAGAUAAAUCGGUAAUCGGCCCUUAUAUUGAUGAUAUUCAAGAGCAGAAGGCGAAUUUUUAUGGAUGCAAAUUCCAGCAUGCAAAAAGAGCGGCAAAUAGAGCAGCACAUAACCUAGCAUCUGAAGGGUGAAAAUGGGGGUGAAUGCAUACUUUGUUCAUGAGCUUGUUACUCAAGUUCUCACCGAUUCAGAAAUUGAUAGGGGAUGGAGAUGAAGGCCAUCACUGAGUCAACACCAUCUCCAGCAAAUGAGAGAGUAGGAGAAAAAAUUUUAGAUCUCUAUGACUGUUUGUUUCUCCAAGAG
rnacentral:lncRNA from 1 species